UAAACAUUUCGUUAAAUAUAAGACAAAAACACUAAUGAUAUACAAGGUAAACUCUUGGUACCUAUUAAUUCAGGCCAUGGAUUGAAUUAUUAUAAAGCAGUAGAAUUGCUUGGAAUGAAUGAAAAUAAAAUGAUAAUCUGAGUAUCCAUGGUGAUAUCCUCUAAAACAGAAUGUUGCACAGGACUUCUGUUAGUGCAUACUGCCUAGAUCUCCAGUGAUGAGAAAUGUCUUCCAUAAAUCUGAAGGAGGGCUUUAUUCUCAAGACUUCUACUAGUGUCUGGAACAAUGGAAAUCCUUAUGAAAUACAGGAAAACCCUGUUUACUUCCAAAUGAUCAAGAUAUGGACCAUAAGAAUGUUGACCUAGAACUCAGAGCUACUAAGAAUUUUAGUCAUUAAAAUAAAAGCGAUUACUACUUUGACUUUUAAAGGCAAAAUAUGCCUUCGGAAUCCAGAUUGAAAAUGUAUACAGCAACAUGUAACAUGUAUCCAACUAUGCAAAAUGAUUAAUAAUUAAAGAGAAGCUACCACCUGAAAGUAGUUUUAAUUACAACCUUG
rnacentral:lncRNA from 1 species